UCCCUGGUGGCCUAGAGAUUAAGGAUCCAGCGUUGUCACUGCUGUGGUGCAGGUUCCAUUCCUGGCUGGGGAA
rnacentral:tRNA from 1 species